UACGUAGGGGGCAAGCGUUGUCCGGAAUUACUGGGCGUAAAGGGCGCGUAGGCGGCCAUCUAAGUCAGACGUGAAAUCCCCCGGCUUAACCUGGGAACUGCGUCUGAUACUGGACGGCUUGAGUAUGGGAGAGGGAUGUAGAAUUCCAGGUGUAGCGGUGAAAUGCGUAGAUAUCUGGAGGAAUACCGGUGGCGAAGGCGGCAUCCUGGACCAUUACUGACGCUGAGGCGCGAAAGCUAGGGGAGCAAACGGG
rnacentral:rRNA from 1 species